CCGGAAACGGGCGGGGCGCGGGCCCUGGGUAGGUUCCUGUGGUAUUAGGUGGACUGGAGAAAGAGGCCCGCGUGAAUUAAGUGUAGUUCUCUUAUGCACUGGCGGACUCUGGUCGCCCUUCCUUGUGAAGGCUGCCUGGGUAGCCGUAGAGGACGAGGCCACUCUAAAGCCUCGUUUUCCCAGCGGAAUUUUAACUAUUCUAAGGAUGUCCUUACAGCCAGUUCCCCACUCCGCUACUCAGAGUGUGUCAGACUUUACCCUGUCCAUUCAACUCCAGAAAAACCGGGAGGUCUAGAUUCGGAAGAUUAAAUUUACCUUUGAAUUAGGACAUGUAAAAUAGGAAGUUAAUAUUAGCAUCCUAAUGACAAAAGUUUUCUCGUUAUCAUACUUGACUCAAAUGGGAAUCUUACGGAUAUUAAUGUUUUUUCCAGAAACAGGUUUGAAAGGUAUUUCAAGGAUAAAUCUGGGGAAAGGGAUGGAAGCAACUGAUUUUUAAUUUUUAGAUAGUACUCUCAGAGCAUUUAUUUAGUCCAAAACUGUUAAUUUAAUGAAUUAGGCUAAACUAGACGCUGGGGUAACAAAGCUGAGUUAGAUACCCUCUCCUCUGAGGCAGCUAAAGAGAAGGAAAGUCUGGUGGCUGACAAGUAAACCAACAGUUAUGUUCUUCAGAGAGGAGAUCUCAGACUCUCUAAGCAAAAGAAACUAAUAGCUGUAUGACAACAGCCAAAGAGUAAAUAUCCUUUCAAGUCCAAUCCUGCCUAAGAUGUCAAAAUCAAGAAUGAAGAGGUUAUGUGCUGAAACAGAAUGACCUUCACAAGAUGCAGCCUCUGGAUCUUGGACUUCCCCAGCCUCCAGAACUCUGAGCAGAGCCCCAUAAAUGAGAAGCCACGAAGACUGAGGUUACACAGUGAUCCACAGUUGCCACAAAACUGAGCAGGCAUCAAGGUACAUCUUGGUGUUGAAUGAAGUUGUUCCAUAUGGGCUCAUUUCUCAGUACUGAAGAAUGGGAUUUUGGACACAGAAGUGAUUUUGAUAAGUGACAGAAUUCUGCCGAAGGCCAGAGGCAAAAAGAGGCAAAACAAGGAACAUAAAAAUAGAGAAUCUACAAAUUAGCAUGUUAUAAUUACUCUCUUGCAUAGCAUUUAAGGACAUCUUUGAAAAGAUUCAAUGUCUUCAGCAACUGUAUCUAACUAGCAUGUACUAUAACUCAAAUUGACAUGAUUCCUAAAGAGAAGCAUCGGGACAACUCUUCUAUAGUGAUGAGGCAUUACUGAACAAUGUUUUUGGUUGAUAAACAGUAAUAGAAAUUUGGGAUUAAAAUGGCCUUUUCAAAGGAGUAGGUCAUUCCUAUGAAAAUAAUAGAUACUUAAAUUUA